rnacentral:rRNA from 1 species
UGAUUUCCCUAGUAACGGCGAGUGAAGAGGAAAGAGCUCAAAGUUGGAACCUGUUUGGCUUAGCUAAACCGGAUUGUAAACUGUAGAAGUGUUUUCCAGACACGCCUGGUAAAAAAGUCCUUUGGAACAGGGCAUCAUAGAGGGUGAGAAUCCCGUCUUUGGCCAGAGCUGUUGUCUUUUGUGAUACAUUUUCAAAGAGUCAGGUUGUUUGGGAAUGCAGCCUAAAUUGGGUGGUAAAUCUCACCUAAAGCUAAAUAUUUGCGAGAGACCGAUAGCGAACAAGUACCGUGAGGGAAAGAUGAAAAGAACUUUGAAAAGAGAGUUAAACAGUAUGUGAAAUUGUUAAAAGGGAACCGUUUGGAGCCAGACUGGCUUGACUGUAAUCAAUCUAGGCUUCGGCCUGGAUGCACUUGCGGUUUAUGCCUGCCAACGACAAUUUUCUUUGAGGGAAAAAACUAUUAGGAAUGUGGCCCCCUCGGGGGUGUUAUAGCCUUUUAGAAAAUACCUUGAAUUGGAUUGAGGAACGCAGUGAAUGCCUUUAGGCAAGAUUGCUGGGCGCUUUCGCUAAUAAAUGCUAGAAUUUCUGCUUUGGGUGGUGCUAGUGUUUAAAGGAGAAACUCGCUUGGUAUAUUUUUUAUUCGCUUAGGUUGUUGGCUUAAUGACUCUAAAUGAC